CUUAGAAGCAGCCAUCAUUUAAAGAAAGCGUAAUAGCUCACUGGUCGAGUCGGCCUGCGCGGAAGAUGUAACGGGGCUAAACCAUGCACCGAAGCUGCGGCAGCGACACUAUGUGUUGUUGGGUAGGGGAGCGUUCUGUAAGCCUGCGAAGGUGUGCUGUGAGGCAUGCUGGAGGUAUCAGAAGUGCGAAUGCUGACAUAAGUAACGAUAAAGCGGGUGAAAAGCCCGCUCGCCGGAAGACCAAGGGUUCCUGUCCAACGUUAAUCGGGGCAGGGUGAGUCGACCCCUAAGGCGAGGCCGAAAGGCGUAGUCGAUGGGAAACAGGUUAAUAUUCCUGUACUUGGUGUUACUGCGAAGGGGGGACGGAGAAGGCUAUGUUAGCCGGGCGACGGUUGUCCCGGUUUAAGCAUGUAGGCUGAUUGUCCAGGCAAAUCCGGAUAAUCAAGGCUGAGGUGUGAUGACGAGGCACUACGGUGCUGAAGUAACAAAUGCCCUGCUUCCAGGAAAAGCCUCUAAGCAUCAGGUAACAUCAAAUCGUACCCCAAACCGACACAGGUGGUCAGGUAGAGAAUACCAAGGCGCUUGAGAGAACUCGGGUGAAGGAACUAGGCAAAAUGGUGCCGUAACUUCGGGAGAAGGCACGCUGGUGUGUAGGUGAAG
rnacentral:rRNA from 1 species